AAAUUUUGAUUAUACCGAGCUUGUUUACCUACAUUUUUUAGAAAAUAGGGUAGCAAUGCCAGCAACAGCAGUUCAUGUUGCUCAGGGAUAAGAUUGGAAACGAUUUAUCCUCUCAUUUUUAGUAAAGGUAUUAAAUGAACACGAUU
rnacentral:ncRNA from 2 species